CGCGCUUACCAUGCAGUCGAGCGGUAACAGGUCUUCGGAUGCUGACGAGCGGCGGACGGGUGAGUAACGCGUAGGAACCUGCCUGAUAGUGGGGGAUAGCCCGGCGAAAGCCGGAUUAAUACCGCAUACGCUCUACGGAGGAAAGGGGGCUUCGGCUCCCGCUAUCAGAUGGGCCUGCGUAGGAUUAGCUAGUUGGUAGGGUAAAGGCCUACCAAGGCGACGAUCCUUAGCUGGUCUGAGAGGAUGAUCAGCCACACUGGGACUGAGACACGGCCCAGACUCCUACGGGAGGCAGCAGUGGGGAAUAUUGGACAAUGGGGGAAACCCUGAUCCAGCCAUGCCGCGUGUGUGAAGAAGGCCUUAGGGUUGUAAAGCACUUUCAGUGGGGAGGAAGGCUUGGUGGUUAAUACCCGUCGAGAUUGAUGUUAUCCUGAGGAGAUAAUCACUGGUU
rnacentral:rRNA from 1 species